GACCACAUAGCUCAACUGGCAGAGCAUUGGACUAGUAUCCCAAAGGUCGAGGGUUCGAUUCCCACCGUGGCCA